AUUGAACGCUGGCGGCAUGCCUAACACAUGCAAGUCGAGCGGAUGAAGGGAGCUUGCUCCUGGAUUCAGCGGCGGACGGGUGAGUAAUGUCUAGGAAUCCGUCUGGUAGUGGGGGAUAACGUCCGGCGACGGCCGGUAAUAUCGCCUAUGCCCUGAGGGAGAAAGAGGGGGAUCUUCGGACCUCACGCUCUCAGAUGAGCCUAGGUCGGAUUAGCUAGUUGGUGGGGUAAAGGCCUACCAAGGCGACGAUCCGUAACUGGUCUGAGAGGAUGAUCAGUCACACUGGAACUGAGACACGGUCCAGACUCCUACGGGAGGCAGCAGUGGGGAAUAUUGGACAAUGGGCGAAAGCCUGAUCCAGCCAUGCCGCGUGUGUGAAGAAGGUCUUCGGAUUGUAAAGCACUUUAAGUUGGGAGGAAGGGCAGUAAGUUAAUACCUUGCUGUUUUGACGUUACCAACAGAAUAAGCACCGGCUAACUUCGUG
rnacentral:rRNA from 1 species